CUCCCUCGCUUUUGGAGCUCCGACCUCAGCUUCGCCUGCGAGCUGGGUUGUGUAAAGGCUGGUCAUUUUGGGGCGCUUAGGGGUGGGUGCCGGGGGGCGCGCUUUCCCUCGUGAAGGUCGCUCCAGGAGUCAUGCGUACAUUCGUUCAUUUUGCUCUGGACGCACUGAUGUUCCCGGCUCGCCGCCGUGCCGCAGUCACGAGGCUCUCCGAACGCCUUUCACUGUGUUUCUGUUUACAUUCGCGUCUGCAAGACCCGGCGGCGCGACCGAGGCCCGAACAGCAUUAUUCACAAGAGCCAAAAAGUGGAAACAACCCAAAUACCCAUCAACUGAUGAAUGGAUGGAGAUGGGCUGCCAUGUUGUGAGCUGCCCCAUGGGGAAGAGGCUCACAUGUGAGGAACUGAGGGAGGCCUCCAGAAAACAGCCAGUGAAGAACUGAGACCCUCAGUCCAAUAGCCUAUGAGGAACUGAAUCCUGCUGACAACCAUAUGAAUGAGCUUGGAAGCAGAUCCUUCCCCAGUGAAGCCUUCAUGUGAGACUGCAGCCCACUUGACACUUUGAUUUGUAGCUUGUGACAGACCCCAAGCCAGAAGAGUCAGGUAAGCAGUGCCUGCACUCCUGACCCAUGGCAACUGGCAUGAUAAAUGUUUUUUCCCAUGAAGC
rnacentral:lncRNA from 10 species